rnacentral:rRNA from 1 species
UAGACUUGACAUCCCUGGCAAAGCUAUAGAAAUAUAGUGGAGGUUAACCGGGUGAC